GUUGUUUGAAGUUGGGAGGAAGUGUUUGAUUGUUAGUCGACUUGUUGGUUUUGUAAUAUUUAUUUCUCAAGUUUUGUGUCCCUCCCCCGAUUGUUCGUUUUUUUUUUUUUUUGUGUAUUUAGGUAUUUUUUUCGAGGGGAUUAAUAUUUCCGUGACCGGAAUAGUAUGUUCGAGGAUGAAUUUUCAAGGAUUUGAUCAUUAUUUUUUGUUGUCAUUAUUCAAAUGACCAAUAUACAUACUUAACUAAUAAUGUUAUUUC
rnacentral:lncRNA from 1 species